rfam:Piscirickettsia sp. Y2 scaffold00001, whole genome shotgun sequence.
AUCCAGCCCCCGCUACCAAGAAUUUUUGAAAGCCCCUUUUUAGGGGCUUUUUACUAGCUAAAAAAAUAAAAAAUGGGCUUAGUGCCCAUUUUUU